rnacentral:rRNA from 2 species
UCGACCUCAGAUCAGACGAGAUGACCCG